CUUUUACUCUACUCAAAGUUUUUUGGAAGUAACAGUACUUCUAGAGUACUUUGAGCAUGACUGCAAAAUGUGGUCUAAUACAGAAAAUGUAUUAAGUUUUCAUUUGUCAAUCUAAACUAGGACUACCAGCAUUCACAACAGAGGGCAGUGAAAGCUUAUAAGCUUUUAAUCUAUUAUUUAUUACUGCUUCAUACUUGCAGUAUUAAACAGGGAAUGGGGCAUUCAGAGCAGUGUGCAUGAAAACCUUGCAACACUGCCUGGCAUGUGAUUUUGAAGGAUUCUGUCUGAAUAGACAGCCAUAAAUCUGGAGGUGGUGAAGAAAGCAUCCGUUCCUGUUGUCAGUGGCCUGUCAGACCUUCCUGACCCUAAAGGGACCCUGCCGAUGUCACUGGGGCCAACGGUCACCGAGGGCACUACAGUGUGCUUUGAGACUUGCUGAAGACCAGCAGUGUUGCAUAGCCCAGUAUUUGUGAAGACACUGAAGGCAGCAUGGAGUGCUGUGGGACUUUGAGGAGCCUGACUGAAGCUGAACUAGGUGUCCACCUCAGGAGUGCAGGGGCUCCAUGAUGUCACAUGACAGCAAUUCCUGACGGUUCUUUUCUCUAGAUGCAAAGAGGGCAUUGCAGCCAUUGAUGUCCACCUUCCCCACAAUACGGGAAUAACUGGCAUAUCUCCAGUGAUAAAGGAGCUCUGAAGAGUUGCAUGGGUUCAGGACCAGGUGAGGGGGAAAUUGGACGCAUAGGCAAGGAAGCAACAAAGGUUGAUGGAUGAGCUACCGGGCUGGAGGUAAGUUUCUGGCUUAGGUCUUGUAGCAGAUUAUGGAUGGAGAUUCACGUUUGACUGUUCAAGGCGUCCCUUUGGCAAGAUAGCUCAGCUUUUGGAUCUGCAUUUAGUGCACGAGGAUACACAGUUAGCGGCACAGGUUUACUCAGCCCCUCUACCAGCUGGCAACAUCUGGAAUUCCACCAUGUGUAAAAUGAUUUUACUGUCGUAUAUUGCAAGACUGAAGUCCUAGAUACUGGCUGGCAGCAGGACGGCGAAAUGCUUCCUUAAAUAGCAUGUGAAAUUGUGUCUCAGUAUUCAGUGCAGUUUUAUUCUGGUGUCACAAUUCGGUC